CAGUCGCCGCGGUAAUACGAAGGGUGCAAGCGUUACUCGGAAUUACUGGGCGUAAAGCGUGCGUAGGUGGUGGUUUAAGUCCGUUGUGAAAGCCCUGGGCUCAACCUGGGAAUUGCAGUGGAUACUGGGUCACUAGAGUGUGGUAGAGGAUAGUGGAAUUUCCGGUGUAGCAGUGAAAUGCGUAGAGAUCGGAAGGAACAUCUGUGGCGAAGGCGACUAUCUGGGCCAACACUGACACUGAGGCACGAAAGCGUGGGGAGCAAACAGGAUUAGAUACCCGCGUAGUCCCUGUCUCUUAUAC
rnacentral:rRNA from 1 species